rnacentral:tRNA from 1 species
UUAUAAGUGACUGAAAUUUAAGUAAUGGUCUCUUAAACCAUCCUAUAGUACAAAAUACUCUUAGUAAA